AGCACGUUAUGGUGGGCGACUCUAAGGAGGACUGCCGGUGGACAACCGGAGGAAGGUGGGGAUGACGUCAAGUCAUCAUGGCCCUUACGGCCUGGGCUACACACGUGCUACAAUGGUCGGUACAAAGGGUUAGCCAAGCCGCGAGGUGGAGCUAAUCCCAUAAAACCGAUCGUAGUCCGGAUCGCAGUCUGCAACUCGACUGCGUGAAGUCGGAAUCGCUAGUAAUCGUGAAUCAGAAUGUCACGGUGAAUACGUUCCCGGGCCUU
rnacentral:rRNA from 1 species